AUCUUGAAAUUAUUACCAGGUCGUUGAGCAUGGUCUGGGACAUCUGCCAUUUACAGAAAAACAGGUGGUCACUCCAACUAAGUCCGUGUAUACUGGUGUAGAUUUCUGUAAGAGAUUAUGUGGUGUGUCUAUAAUCAGGAGGUAUAUUGAGAUGAUUUCUUUGGAGCAAUUCUUGACAACAUUUGUAGUUGAGGCCUUUAGAAUGGAAGAAUGUAUUUCACUAAUUGUUGUAUACAUGUCUUGUUUUGUAUUUAGUGAUAAAGGAAUCUGAAUUGGGCAUAAAUUAUGUUGUAAUAUGAUUUCUUAAGCCUAGACUAGUAGACUAAAUAUUGUAAUUACAUUUGAGUAAUUAA